rnacentral:rRNA from 1 species
GACGAACGCUGGCGGCAGGCUUAACACAUGCAAGUCGAACGCAUCCUUCGGGGUGAGUGGCAGACGGGUGAGUAACGCGUGGGAACGUGCCCUUCAGUUCGGGAUAACCCAGGGAAACUUGGGCUAAUACCGGAUACGUGCGAGAGCAGAAAGAUUUAUCGCUGAAGGAUCGGCCCGCGUCUGAUUAGCUAGUUGGUGGGGUAAUGGCCCACCAAGGCGACGAUCAGUAGCUGGUCUGAGAGGAUGAUCAGCCACAUUGGGACUGAGACACGGCCCAAACUCCUACGGGAGGCAGCAGUGGGGAAUAUUGGACAAUGGGCGCAAGCCUGAUCCAGCCAUGCCGCGUGAGUGAUGAAGGCCUUAGGGUUGUAAAGCUCUUUCGUCCGGGACGAUAAUGACGGUACCGGAAGAAGAAGCCCCGGCUAACUUCGUGCCAGCAGCCGCGGUAA